rnacentral:tRNA from 1 species
GGCCUGUUGGUGAAGCGGUCUAACACAACGCCCUUUCACGGCGCCAUUCAUGGGUUCGAACCCCGUACAGGUCA